UGAUCAGCAAAUCGACGUAAUUUUUCUUUGCACAUAAUAUAUAAUAAUUAUGAUAUGAAUGUAAAAACGAAAAAAACGUUUAACAUUUCAACAGGUGGGUUUUUUGUAAGAAGGUCUUCGAAAAAUCAUAUUGUGUGUUGGUUAUAUAUGUUUGAGUCGUCAAUGAUAAUAGGCCGUGACAAAAAUCAUUUACACGUGGUUUCGACUGUUUUGAUGGGAUCCAAUCAUUCAUCAUAGCAGAGACGUAUCGAUUGUAUCAUCGUGAAUAUUUUGAAAUUAUAUUGGAAACUUUUAAAAGAUUUAGAAAAAUCGGAAAAUAUCAGAUCGCCAUACAGUUUUCGUAUAACACCGAUGACCUAACCUUUAAUAUGAAGGUACCUACUUCAACACAUCGUUCUAAUCAACUUAUUAGUUAUAAAGUAUAGACAUUGUACAUCGCCUAUUAUACAACCAUACAGG